GGGGUUAUAGCUCAGUUGGCUAGAGCAUAUCGCUGGCAGCGAUGGGGUCAAGGGUUCGAGUCCCUUUAGCUCCA
rnacentral:tRNA from 1 species